UUUGGGAAAUGAUGACAAUCCAGAAAAAUAUUUCUGAGGCUGUGGCUAUGUUGAUCUUGUUAUUUGCACGUCAGUCUGAUCCCAUU